AACCAGUCCUCUCUAAUGCAAAUCAAUGAAAUUAGCCAAAUUGCUUUGUCUCGCUUGAGGACGAAAUUAAUAUUAUUGGUUUUAUUAUCCUAGCGCUCUAAAGUAGUCAAUUAGAGAUUUUAUUGCGCUCGAGAAACGUAGAACUACAUAA